rnacentral:rRNA from 1 species
GACGAACGCUGGCGGCGUGCUUAACACAUGCAAGUCGAACGGGCCUGUCUUCUUUUUUGGGGGUGGGUUGAGUGGCGAACGGGUGAGUAUCACGUGAGUAACCUGCCCUUCGGUCCUGGAUAACCGCUUGAAAGGGCGGCUAAUACGGGGUGGUCCGGUUGGUCCGCAUGGGCUGGUCGGGAUAGAUUCACUGUUUUUGGUGUUUCGGCGGGGGAUGGGCUCGCGGCCUAUCAGCUUGUUGGUGGGGUGAUGGCCUACCAAGGCGGUGACGGGUAGCCGGCCUGAGAGGGUGGGCGGCCAAACUGGGACUGAGAUACGGCCCAGACUCCUGCGGGAGGCAGCAGUGGGGGGUAUGGCACAAUGGGCGGAAGCCUGAUGCAGCGACGUCGCGUGAGGGAUGGAGGCCUUCGGGUUGUGAACCUCUGUUUCCGGUGGUGAAGGCCCUGUCCGUGUGGUGGGGUUGACGGUAGCCGGGGAUGAAGCGCCGGCUAACUACGUG